UACGUAGGGGGCAAGCGUUGUCCGGAUUUAUUGGGCGUAAAGAGCGUGUAGGCGGCUAGACAGGUCCGCUGUGAAAACUCGAGGCUCAACCUCGAGACGUCGGUUGAAACCAUCUGGCUAGAGUCCGGAAGAGGAGAGUGGAAUUCCCGGUGUAGCGGUGAAAUGCGCAGAUAUCGGGAAGAACACCCGUGGCGAAGGCGGCUCUCUGGGACGGUACUGACGCUGAGACGCGAAAGCGUGGGGAGCGAACAGG
rnacentral:rRNA from 1 species